rnacentral:rRNA from 1 species
UACGUAGGGCGCGAGCGUUGUCCGGAAUUAUUGGGCGUAAAGAGCUCGUAGGCGGUUUGUCGCGUCUGCCGUGAAAGCCAGGAGCUUAACUCCUGGUCUGCGGUGGAUACGGGGCAGGCUAGAGGCAGGUAGGGGGAGAACGGAAUUCCCGGUGUAGCGGUGAAAUGCGCAGAUAUCGGGAGGAACACCGGUGGCGAAGGCGGUUCUCUGGGCCUGACCUGACGCUGAGACACGAAAGCGUGGGUAGCAAACAGG